rnacentral:rRNA from 1 species
GAACUUAAGCAUAUCAAUAAGCGGAGGAAAAGAAACCAACAGGGAUUGCCUUAGUAACGGCGAGUGAAGCGGCAACAGCUCAAAUUUGAAAUCUGGCGCUUUCAGCGUCCGAGUUGUAAUUUGCAGAGGGCGCUUUGGCGUUGGCAGCGGUCCAAGUUCCUUGGAACAGGUCGUCACAGAGGGUGAGAAUCCCGUACGUGGCCGCGUGUCUUCGCCGUGUAAAGCCCCUUCGACGAGUCGAGUUGUUUGGGAAUGCAGCUCUAAAUGGGAGGUAAAUUUCUUCUAAAGCUAAAUACUGGCCAGAGACCGAUAGCGCACAAGUAGAGUGAUCGAAAGAUGAAAAGCACUUUGGAAAGAGAGUCAAACAGCACGUGAAAUUGUUGAAAGGGAAGCGCUUGCAGCCAGACUUGCCUGCCGUUGCUCAUCCGGUCUUUUGUCCGGUGCAUUCUUCGGUAGGCAGGCCAGCAUCAGUUUGGGCGGUGGGAUAAAGGUCUCUGUCACGUACCUCCUUUCGGGGAGGCCUUAUAGGGGAGACGUCAUGCCACCAGCCUGGACUGAGGUCCGCGCAUCUGCUAGGAUGCUGGCGUAAUGGCUGUAAGCGGCCCGUCUUGAAACACGGACCAAGGAGUCUAACAUCUAUGCGAGUGUUUGGGUGUCAAGCCCAAGCGCGCAAUGAAAGUGAACGGAGGUGGGACCCCGUAAGGGUGCACCAUCGACCGAUCCUGAUGUCUUCGGAUGGAUUUGAGUAAGAGCAUGGCUGUUGGGACCCGAAA